GUCGUAAUGUAAUGCGAAACCUGCCUGUCGAGAAAGAGUCUUUGCUUUCAAAAAAUUUCGAUCUGCUGCAUUUCCUUUUCCAGCAUAAGGAAGGUUAAAAUAAAUGUUUACCGCAUUUGUUAUCCCUGUCUCUUAAAGUAAAGCAUUUCCUCGGCGCUUUCACAUUUCCAAACUGGAUUCAAAGUUAUCUAUACAGCUAGAAGCCAGCUGCAUUUCGUCAGUCGUUUCCCAGUUCUUUCGUCUUUCUCGUCCUCGAAUUUUAAGACCAAUUCAAUUGUCUUCACGGAAGGCAAACUUGUAAGAUUUAUUUGACGCCUUUCAAAACAGCUUUCUGCGCUUAAAUGCGCGAGUAGCGAUAAACUUAACGUCAAAAGAAAAUUUUCAAAAUGAUUUUUACUUAAUAGCUUGCCUCAGGUUGCUUUGAAGUUUGACUGUAUUGUUUCCCC